GUCAAAUUAUUUACAUCCAGGUUUUAAUUUAUUUACUCAUAUAAUACAUAUAAGAAACAAAACUUGGAAAAAAAAAUACAUCGUGUGAGUAAAGGUGACAACGGAAACAGUGCGAGUGACGACGGGUUGAAUUAAAAUAACAAUAAUAUUAAAAUAUAUUUUACGAUGAAUACGUUUAAUGGUCACUUGAAAUUGGCAUUUAUACAGGGCAUAUCCACACGAGGUAUCUUUUGUCGCGCGACACAGCCCGCUGACCAGGCCGAUCCUAAAUUAAUAAUUAUGCUACGCUACAUCGAAAAAAGCUGCGUGAAAUUAAUUUUGCGACGUUACACUCAUGCCACAAAGAUGCCCCGUGUGAAUCCGCCUUAAUAUUUUACCUUGAUCACUAAACGAUAAUUAUUGUUGAUAACAAAAAUUAAGCACAUUGGAACUAGGAAAUUUCUAUUUUUAAUACCUAAUAUUACUAUAUGCGUGUACCCCAGUUGGCAUACUAGUGUGCCGCGGUACAUCGGUUGAGAGCCACUGAUGUAGAUACAUGUCAAAUUUCUGUUUUAUCAAGAGUCCAACGUUUUAAAUAAUUGAAUAAAAUAUAAAUGGGUGAGAAAUUGUUUACAAAUAAACAUAAAUAUAAUGAGAUUCAUUAAAAAAAAAAAUUAUUUAAACAUGUAUUUUAACUAAAUAUUUUGAAUCAAUUUUAAAUAAUUAAUUUGAAACAAUAGUCUGAAUAGUUAUGAAAAUAGUUAAAAGAGUUUAAUUAAAAUAAUAAAAUGUAGGUAUUGUUUUAUUUUAUUAAGUCGUGUACUGUAUACAUGCUUCAUAAAAUAAUAUAACUUGAAAACUAAAAUUGUUUAAAUAGGUAAAUAAAUAAUGUGAAUAUUUAAAGAUUAUUUAUUCCAGGGAUUCAAACUGAAUUUAUUUUUAUUGUUAGUAUUUAAUGAUCUAUGCAUUUCCUCUGAUUUUUUUUUUUAUGAAUUUUUUUUGUUAAACUGGAAAAUAGUGUGGUUUAAAAAUAAUAUAUUAAUAUACAUAUAAUAACAUUAUAUGCUUUAAGUUUCAUUUACAUACAUUUUCCUAGAAAACUAACCAAUAAAUUACUUGGUUAUAAUAGGUUUGAAGCCCUGGUUUAUUCACUUUAGCCAAUGAUAAUUUUAGAGAUACAACCAAAAAAUGUUUCAUAAAAUUCUUGAUUUUAACUUUGUAACACUAAAAUAAAUUCA